rnacentral:rRNA from 1 species
UAUUAUAAUUAAUGUAAAUAUUUAUACUGGAGUAGUAAUAGUGUUUCUUGAAACUCAAAGAAUUUGGCGGUUUUUUAGUCUUUUCAGGGGAAUCUGUUCUGUAAUUGAUAAUACACGUUUUGUUUUACUUAAUUUUGUGAUCAGUUUGUAUACCGCCGUCGUUAGAUUAUUUUUAUUUAAGAAUUAAAUUUUCUUGAAUUUUUAUUGAAUUGUAUGUCAGGUCAAGGUGCAGCUUAUGAUUAAGUGGAAAUGGAUUACAAUAAUGUUAAUUAUUAUGGAUAAUUAUUUUAGAUUAAUUUGAAGGUGGACUUGAUUGUAAUUAUAUUUUUGAUUUUUAUAUUGAUUUGAGCUCUAGAAUGUGUACAUAUCGCCCGUCACUCUCAUUAUUAAGAUGAG